AUUGAACGCUGGCGGCGUGCCUAACACAUGCAAGUCGAGCGGUAACAGGUGUAGCAAUACAUGCUGACGAGCGGCGAACGGGUGAGUAAUGCUUUGGAAUCUUCCCAGUAGUGGGGAAUAACCAGUCGAAAGAUUGGCUAAUACCGCAUACGUCUGUAAAGGGAAAGCGGGGGCUCGUAAGACCUCGCGCUAUUGGAUGAGCCAAAGUCGGAUUAGCUAGUUGGGGGGUAAUGGCCUACCAAGGCGACAAUCCGUAGCUGGUCUGAGAGGACGACCAGCCACACCGGAACUGAGACACGGUCCGGACUCCUACGGGAGGCAGCAGUGGGGAAUAUUGGACAAUGGGGGAAACCCUGAUCCAGCGACGCCGCGUGUGUGAAGAAGGCCUGCGGGUUGUAAAGCACUUUUAGUGGGGAACAAAAAGCUACGGAUUAAUACUCUGUGGUCUUGAUUUAACCAAAGAAAAGCACCGCUAACUCUGUGCCAGCCGCCGCGGUAA
rnacentral:rRNA from 1 species